rnacentral:tRNA from 1 species
ACCUGGGUGGCCCAGUAGGUUAAGCAUCUGAUUUUGGCUCAGGUCAUGAUCUCACAGUUUGCAGGUUCAAGCCCUGCAUCGGGUU